UGGCGGACGGGUGAGUAACGCGUGGGCAACCUGCCCUCCAGCCCGGGAUAACUUCCGGAAACGGGAGCUAAUCCCGGAUGCGGAGCAAAGGACGCAUGUUUUUUGCUCGAAAGCUUCGGCGCUGGAGGAUGGGCCCGCGUCCCAUUAGCUAGUUGGUGAGGUAACGGCUCACCAAGGCGACGAUGGGUAGCCGGCCUGAGAGGGUGAACGGCCACACUGGGACUGAGACACGGCCCAGACUCCUACGGGAGGCAGCAGUAGGGAAUCUUGCGCAAUGGGCGAAAGCCUGACGCAGCGACGCCGCGUGAGGGAAGAAGGCCUUCGGGUCGUAAACCUCUGUCCUUGGGGACGAUGAUGACGGUACCCAAGGAGGAAGCCCCGGCUAACUACGUGCCAGCAGCCGCGGUAAUACGUAGGGGGCGAGCGUUGUCCGGAAUCACUGGGCGUA
rnacentral:rRNA from 1 species